CACCGCCCGUCACACCAUGGGAGUUGGUUUGACCCGACGUCGGUGGGCUAACCCUUCGGGGGGGCAGCCGCCUACGGUCAGAUCAGCGACUGGGGUGAAGUCGUAACAAGGUAUCCCUACCGGAAGGUGGGGAUG
rnacentral:ncRNA from 1 species